CCUACGGGGGGCUGCAGUGAGGAAUAUUGGUCAAUGGACGAGAGUCUGAACCAGCCAAGUAGCGUGAAGGAUGACUGCCCUAUGGGUUGUAAACUUCUUUUAUAUGGGAAUAAAAUGUUCCACGUGUGGGAUUUUGUAUGUACCAUAUGAAUAAGGAUCGGCUAACUCCGUGCCAGCAGCCGCGGUAAUACGGAGGAUCCGAGCGUUAUCCGGAUUUAUUGGGUUUAAAGGGAGCGUAGGUGGAUUGUUAAGUCAGUUGUGAAAGUUUGCGGCUCAACCGUAAAAUUGCAGUUGAAACUGGCAGUCUUGAGUACAGUAGAGGUGAGCGGAAUUCGUGGUGUAGCGGUGAAAUGCUUAGAUAUCACGAAGAACUCCGAUUGCGAAGGCAGUUCACUGGACUGCAACUGACACUGAGGCUCGAAAGUGUGGGUAUCAAACAGGAUUAGAUACCCGAGUAGUC
rnacentral:rRNA from 1 species